CCCUUAGAUGUUCUGGGCCGCACGCGCGCUACACUGUUCGACGCAGCGAGUCUUAACCUUGACCGAAAGGUUUGGGUAAUCUUCAGCAAAGUCGAACGUGAUGGGGAUCGAUCAUUGCAAUUAUUGAUCGUGAACGAGGAAUUCCUAGUAAGUGCAAGUCAUCAGCUUGCGCUGAUUACGUCCCUGCCCUUUGUACGCACCGCCCGUCGCUACUACCGAUUGAAUGGUUUAGUGAGAUCUCUGGAUUGACGCUGGCUAGGGGGCGACCCUUGGCCAGACUGUUGAGAAACUGCUCAAACUUGAUCAUUUAGAGGAAGUAAAAGUCGUAACA
rnacentral:rRNA from 1 species